ACUGCUCAGUAACACGUGGCUAAUCUGCCCUUAGGACGAGAACAACCCCGGGAAACUGGGGCUAAUUCUCGAUAGGUGAAGAACUCUGGAAUGAGUCUUCGCCCAAAAAGCUUCACGUUAUGCUCGUGGAGUCGCCUAAGGAUGAGGCCGCGACCGAUCAGGUUGUUGGUGAGGUAAUGGCUCACCAAGCCUUUUACCGGUGCGGGCCGUGAGAGCGGGAGCCCGGAGAUGGGCACUGAGACAAGGGCCCAGGCCCUACGGGGCGCAGCAGUCGCGAAAACUUUGCAAUACACGAAAGUGUGACAGGGCUAUCCCGAGUGCCAUCCGCUGAGGAAGGCUUUUACCCAGUCUAGAACGCUGGGGGAAUAAGGAGAGGGCAAGUCUGGUGUCAGCCGCCGCGGUAAUACCAGCUCUCCGAGUGGUGUGGAUGUUUAUUGGGCCUAAAGCAUCCGUAGCUGGCUAAGUUAGUCCCUUGUUAAAUCCACCGAAUUAAUCGUUGGAUUGCGGGGGAUACUGCUUGGCUAGGGGACGAGAGAGGCAGACGGUAUUUCCGGGGUAGGGGUGAAAUCCUAUAAUCCCGGGAAGACCACCAGUGGCGAAGGCUGUCUGCUAGAACGCGCCCGACGGUGAGGGAUGAAAGCUGGGGGAGCGAACCGGAUUAGAUACCCGGGUAGUCCCAGCUGUAAACGAUGCAGGCUAGGUGUUUGGACGGCCACGUGCCGUUCUAGUGCCGCAGGGAAGCUGUUAAGCCUGCCGCCUGGGGAGUACGAUCGCAAGAUUGAAACUUAAAGGAAUUGGCGGGGGAGCAC
rnacentral:rRNA from 1 species